rnacentral:tRNA from 1 species
GCCUUAUUAGCUCAUGGGGAGAGCGCCUUAAUGCUGGCAGGUAUUGUCCGGAGGAGGUAAUCGGUUCGAGUCCGAUAUAAGGCA